AUACGAAGGGAGCUAGCGUUGUUCGGAAUUACUGGGCGUAAAGCGCACGUAGGUGGACUGGUCAGUUGAGGUUGAAAUCCCAGGGCUCAACCCUGGAACUGCCUUCAAUACUGCCAGUCUUGAGUCCGAGAGAGGUGAGUGGAAUUCCUAGUGUAGAGGUGAAAUUCGUAGAUAUUAGGAAGAACACCAGUGGCGAAGGCGGCUCACUGGCUCGGUACUGACGCUGAGGUGCGAAAGCGUGGGGAGCAAACAGGAUUAGAAACCCCAGUAGUCC
rnacentral:rRNA from 1 species